rnacentral:rRNA from 1 species
CCUACGGGAGGCAGCAGUGGGGAAUAUUGGGCAAUGGGCGCAAGCCUGACCCAGCAACGCCGCGUGAAGGAAGAAGGCUUUCGGGUUGUAAACUUCUGUUACGGGGGAAGAGCAGAAGACGGUACCCCUUGAAUAAGCCACGGCUAACUACGUGCCAGAAGCCGCGGUAAUAUGUAGGUGGCAAGCGUUGUCCGGAUUUACUGGGUGUAAAGGGCGUGCAGCCGGAGAGACAAGUCAGAUGUGAAAUCCACGGGCUCAACCCGUGAACUGCAUUUGAAACUGUUUCCCUUGAGUGUCGGAGAGGUAAUCGGAAUUCCUUGUGUAGCGGUGAAAUGCGUAGAUAUAAGGAAGAACACCAGUGGCGAAGGCGGAUUACUGGACGAUAACUGACGGUGAGGCGCGAAAGCGUGGGGAGCAAACAGGAUUAGAUACCCUUGUAGUC